rnacentral:rRNA from 1 species
GAAAAUUAUAUUCUUACUAAAAUUUUAUCAAGUUUUAUUAUAGAAAUAUCUUUUUACUUAGUAUAUUAAAGAAAUUUAUUAAUAUUGUGAUAGUGAAUUAGUACCGUGAGGGAAGGUGAUGAAAAAAUUGAAAUUUAAUUUUCAUGAAAGUAUAUUUUAUUUAUAGUACCUUUUGUAUCAGGGUUAAUCAAAUAUAUAUAAAUUAUUUUAAUAUCUCGAUUUCAAAAGAGCUAAUUAAUUAUUUUAUUUGAUGUUUCAUAAUCAUUAAAAAUAUAAAUUAGGGGAGAUAUUCUAUUCGUUUUUGAAGGUAUCUAGUUUUUUAAGAAAUAAAUUUAAUUUAAUUUUAUACUUUAAUUCAUUAAUUUUUGAAUGAAUUAUUUGUAUAAAUGAAAUAAUUUAGGGGAUAAGCUCUAAAUUAAUAUCUAAAAUUUAAAUAUAAUUUUAAUUUAUGUAGGGUUGAAAACAUCUAUCAUUAAAAAGUACGUUAUAGUUUAAGUUAAAAUUAAUUGAUUUAUUUUUAUUUAGAAUAUUAUUAAAAUUUGAAAUUUAAUUAUAAAUUUUUAGUAAUAAUGAUUAAAUUAGUAUAAUUAUUUGUUUAAAAUUUAUUAAAGGGGAUGAUUAAAUAAGGAACUCGGCAAAAUAAGUGCUCGCCUGUUUAACAAAAACAUGUCUUCUUGAUAAAAUAGGAAGUCUGACCUGCCCAGUGAAAAUAUUUUAACGGCCGCGGUAUAUUGACCGUGCAAAGGUAGCAUAAUCAUUAGUCUUUUAAUAGAGGGCUGGAAUGAAGGGUUUAACGAAGUACUUACUGUCUCAUUUAAUUUGAUAUUAAAAUUUACUUUUUCAGUCAAAAAGCUGAAAUACUAUUGGAAGACGAGAAGACCCUAUAGAGCUUUAUAUUUAGUUAUUUAAUAAAUUUUUGAUAUAAUUAUUAUUUAUUAUUUAAUAAAAUAUUUUGUUGGGGUGACAAAAAUAUAUAAUUAACUUUUUUAUUUAUAUAACAUUGAUAUAUGAAAAACAGAUCCAGUUUUACUGAUUGUUAGAAUAAGUUACCUUAGGGAUAACAGCGUAAUCUUCCUUCAGAGUUCAUAUUCACAGGGAGGCUUGCGACCUCGAUGUUGGAUUAAGAUUAUAAUUAGGUGUAGCCGCUUAAAAAAUAGGUCUGUUCGACCUUUAAAUUCUUACAUGAUCUGAGUUCAAACCGGUUUAAGCCAGGUUGGUUUCUAUCUCCAAUUUUUAAUUAAUUUUUAGUACGAAAGGACCAAUAUUAAAAAAGAACUUUUUUAAAAAUGAAUAAUAUUA